rnacentral:rRNA from 1 species
UACGUAGGGUGCAAGCGUUUAAUCGGAAUUACUGGGCGUAAAGCGUGCGCAGGCGGUUCUGUAAGUCUGUCGUGAAAUCCCCGGGCUUAACCUGGGAAUUGCGAUGGAGACUGCAAGGCUAGAAUCUGGCAGAGGGGGGUAGAAUUCCACGUGUAGCAGUGAAAUGCGUAGAGAUGUGGAGGAACACCGAUGGCGAAGGCAGCCCCCUGGGUCAAGAUUGACGCUCAUGCACGAAAGCGUGGGGAGCAAACAGG